rfam:Triticum aestivum genome assembly, contig: Triticum_aestivum_CS42_TGACv1_scaffold_159504_2DL
AAAGUACUCCCUCCGUCCCAAAAUUCUUGUCUUAGAUUUUUCUAGAUACGGACGUAUCAAGACAUUAGAUACAUCCGUAUCUAGACAAAUCUAAGACAAGAAUUUUGGGACAGAGGGAGUAGUUG